AUAUUGGACAAUGUGGGCAACCCUGAUCCAUCCAUGCCGCGUGUGUGAAGAAGGUCUUNGGAUUGNANAGCACUUUAAGUUGGGANGAAGGGCUUUAGGCUAAUACCCUGAAGUUUUGACGUUACUAACAGAAUAAGCACCGGUUAAUGCUGUGCUAGCAGCCUCGGUAAUACAGAGGGUGCAAGCGUUAAUCGGAAUUACUGGGCGUAAAGCGCGCGUAGGUAGUUCAGUAAGAUGGGUGUGAAAUCCCCGGGCUUAACCUGGGAACUGCUUUCAUAACUGCUGAGCUAGAGUACGGUAGAGGGUAGUGGAAUUUCCUGUGUAGCGGUGAAAUGCGUAGAUAUAGGAAGGAACACCAGUGGCGAAGGCGACUACCUGGACUGAUACUGACACUGAGGUGCGAAAGCGUGGGGAGCAAACA
rnacentral:rRNA from 1 species